rnacentral:rRNA from 1 species
AUGGAGCCGACCUUGAAAUACCACCCUUUAAUGUUUGAUGUUCUAACGUUGACCCGUAAUCCGGGUUGCGGACAGUGUCUGGUGGGUAGUUUGACUGGGGCGGUCUCCUCCUAAAGAGUAACGGAGGAGCACGAAGGUUGGCUAAUCCUGGUCGGACAUCAGGAGGUUAGUGCAAUGGCAUAAGCCAGCUUGACUGCGAGCGUGACGGCGCGAGCAGGUGCGAAAGCAGGUCAUAGUGAUCCGGUGGUUCUGAAUGGAAGGGCCAUCGCUCAACGGAUAAAAGGUACUCCGGGGAUAACAGGCUGAUACCGCCCAAGAGUUCAUAUCGACGGCGGUGUUUGGCACCUCGAUGUCGGCUCAUCACAUCCUGGGGCUGAAGUAGGUCCCAAGGGUAUGGCUGUUCGCCAUUUAAAGUGGUACGCGAGCUGGGUUUAGAACGUCGUGAGACAGUUCGGUCCCUAUCUGCCGUGGGCGCUGGAGAACUGAGGGGGGCUGCUCCUAGUACGAGAGGACCGGAGUGGACGCAUCACUGGUGUUCGGGUUGUCAUGCCAAUGGCACUGCCCGGUAGCUAAAUGCGGAAGAGAUAAGUGCUGAAAGCAUCUAAGCACGAAACUUGCCCCGAGAUGAGUUCUCCCUGACUCCUUGAGAGUCCUGAAGGAACGUUGAAGACGACGACGUUGAUAGGCCGGGUGUGU